ACUGGGCAUGUUGGCAUGUACCUGUAAUUCCAGCUAUUCAGGAGGCUGAGGCAGGAGAAUCGCUUGAACCAGAGAGUCUGAGGUUGCAGUGAGCUGAGAUUGCACCACUGCACUCCAGCCUGGUGACAGAGCAAGACUCCNNNNNNNNNNUUUUUUUUUUUUUUUUUUUUUUUGAGACGGAGUCUUGCUCUGUCACCAGGCUGGAGUGCAGUGGUGCAAUCUCAGCUCACUGCAACCUCAGACUCUCUGGUUCAAGCGAUUCUCCUGCCUCAG
rnacentral:SRP_RNA from 1 species